AAUUUUCUUGACGCUUAAACGGUGCCACUCGUUUGUUUAAUUAUUACUGCAGAUUCAAAGGCUAUUCUAACAAGUGGGAUUACGUACCUUCACUAAACCUGAUGAUGCCAAUAGAGGCCGUAAACCUGGUGAGAAAUACUCCCUGAUCACACACAAGGUAUUAAAACAGUCUUUGUGCGGAUGUGCUCCUCUACCGGAGUUGCAGCGAAACCUGAAAUCCACACGGAGGCAGAAUAGAACAGAGCAACAAAAAUUCCAGGAGAUCUCUCGAGGAAAAAAUGCUUUCAGGAGAUUUUCUCAUCACAUUUGGGUGCGAGAUAUAUAGAUUUCAAGAGUUUACCUUUCAUGUAAUUUUAUUUCAUUUAUGAUGCCCUUGAAUUAUGGGCGGUGAUGGUGAUGGAAUGUAAUCUCUGUAAUUGUUGCUGGCUGAAAGUAUGGCACGGUGAUGGUGGACAACAUUUA